rnacentral:lncRNA from 1 species
UAUAUAUGUAAAGAAAAUCACGACACGCGUGUACUUCUGUCGUGCUUCUCUCAAGCUUUGAAUCUGCCGCGUCACCGACGAAGGCCACCGACCGACGGCGCGGUAGAGCACGGGCUUGGGGAGACGACCGGUAAAUUUGGAGAGAAAAAAUUCAAAAUGAAAAUAUUCAACAAGGUUGAACGAAGGAGAGAGCAGUUAUCACGAGACCUUUACAUAGAAUUAAAAUAUAGAAAUUAAAAGCUUUAAAUGUUGUUUCUCUUACUUUUACAGAAACACAGUUGAGUUUUUGAUUCUAACCUAACUGGACACGGAAAAACAUAUUACAUAUAUAUAUAU